rnacentral:rRNA from 1 species
AUUGAACGCUGGCGGCAGGCCUAACACAUGCAAGUCGAGCGGAUGAAGGGAGCUUGCUCCUGGAUUCAGCGGCGGACGGGUGAGUAAUGCCUAGGAAUCUGCCUGGUAGUGGGGGAUAACGUCCGGAAACGGGCGCUAAUACCGCAUACGUCCUGAGGGAGAAAGUGGGGGAUCUUCGGACCUCACGCUAUCAGAUGAGCCUAGGUCGGAUUAGCUAGUUGGUGGGGUAAAGGCCUACCAAGGCGACGAUCCGUAACUGGUCUGAGAGGAUGAUCAGUCACACUGGAACUGAGACACGGUCCAGACUCCUACGGGAGGCAGCAGUGGGGAAUAUUGGACAAUGGGCGAAAGCCUGAUCCAGCCAUGCCGCGUGUGUGAAGAAGGUCUUAGGAUUGUAAAGCACUUUAAGUUGGGAGGAAGGGAAGUAAGUUAAUACCUUGCUGUUUUGACGUUACCAACAGAAUAAGCACCGGCUAACUUCGUG